GGCUUCGUGGCCAAGUGGCUAAGGCGUCGGUCUCGUAAACCGAAGAUCACGGGUUCGAAUCCCGUCGAGGCCU
rfam:Trichuris muris Edinburgh genomic scaffold, scaffold33